UUGCUGAUGUGGACGCUCUAUGGAGCCUCAAAAGGUCCCUUUUAUUAGUUCUAUAUAUUGAGUAUUUCUCUUUCUUAUACUUUAUAUUUAGUUAAUUUAUAUAUUUUAUAUUUUAAGAUAGAUGUUUAAAUCUUAAUGUAUUUUUCCAUUUUUAGUGUAAAGCGGCAAUGUUUAAUAGAAGAACUUGGACAAAUAGUCAAAUAGUUAUAUUUAUGUUUUUUUUUCUUUUUUUAUAUAAUGGCAAUGUUACAUUAUGGAGAUAAGCCGGUUUUUAGUGAAAAUUGUAAUCUUACAUAUGUUUAAUGUAGUUUUUCUAUUUUUUUUAUGUUGUGUGUUUACAUAUUAUUGUUAUUUUUAAAUGUAAAAUGGUAAUCUUACAUAUGUUUAAUGUAGUAUUUCCAUUUUUUAUGUUGUAUGUUUACAUAUUAUUUAUUAUUUUUGAAAUUAUAUAUAAUGUUUUUUUUACAAAAUAGUAAUAUUACAUUAUGGAGAUAAGCCGUCUUUUUUUUAGUGAAAAAUGGUAAUCUUACAUAUGUUUAAUUAAUGUAGUUUUUCCAUUUUUUAUGUUGUAUGUUUACAUAUUAUUAUUUUUAAAUAAAAAUGUAAAAUGGUAAUCUUACAUAUGUUUAAUGUAGUAUUUCUAUUUUUUAUGUUGUAUGUUUACAUAUAUUUAUUAUUUUUGAAAUUGUAUAUAAUGUUUUUUGUUUUUUUUAUAAAACGGUAAUGUUACAUUAUGGAGAUAAGCCGUCUUUUUUUUAAGUGAAAAAUGGUAAUCUUACAUAUGUUUAAUGUAGUUUUUCUAUUUUUUGUGUUGUAUGUUUACAUAUUAUUUAUAAUUUUCAAAAAUUUGUAAUAUUAAAAUGUAAAACUAUAUUUUAUGCCACGUGUCAUCUUUCGAGAGAAGUUUCUUUUGCUGAUAUGGACGCUCUAUGGAGCCUCAAAAGGUCGCUUUUAUUAGUAGAGACUAGGGAUUAACCCGGGCUACGCCCGGGAUUUUUAUUUUUUCUAAUUUAAGUUGUUAAAUUAUUUAUAUUUAGGCUAUGAUAUAUAUUUAUAUAAAUGUUAAAGUGCAUAUCAUAAUUAAAAUUUAUUUUUAAAUUUUAAAACGUUAAAUUAACAUAUUUUUAAAACGUUAAAUUAACAUAUUUUUUUAAUAAAAUGGAGCCAUGGUAUAAUCAGUGGUGUAUAACAUGAUUUGGUAAGUAAUAUAUGAG
rnacentral:lncRNA from 1 species